AAAUAAUGGAGAGAGAGAGAAAGAGAUGGAAGAGAGAAGAAAGGAUAUGAGGAAUAAAGGAAGGGUCUUACAAAAACAAAAAAAGUAGGAGAUUAAUGGAAAAAGAAUACUUAAUAAAGCUCUCUUGGGCUCUCUCUCUCUCUCUCUCUCUCUUUCUCUUUCUCUCUCUCUCUCUCUCUCU
rnacentral:miRNA from 1 species